CGCGGGCCCGCCCUUCUCAACGCCCUUUAGCGAGCGCCAAAAAACUCCCGACCCCUUCUUGGCGCGCGUCGCCGCAGAGCCCACCCAGGCGGGAUAGAGCUUAUGGAUUGGCUAAUGCCGCAGCAACUCCCGCCUGCCUGAGCUGUUCCCGGAGGUCCGCAAGCCCCCAGCCCUCCCAUGCGGAAGAGUCUGGCUGGUGCAGAGGGCUCAACUUUUCCCUAGGCUCUGGACCCAAAGGCCUUCCACGUCCUUUGGAACCUGCUUACUUCCUUUAUUCCCUCGCAGUCUGGCUCCUUCCUCCAUCCUGGGUGACCAGUGGGUGCCGACAUUGACAUUCAUAUAAGAACACGGAGGAGGUGCAGGAUGGGUGCUCACUGUUCCUGGAGUGUCACUGUUUCUGGUCCCUCUAAGUGGAUAGAGCAAGGAAAUAUACAUAUGUAUACACACAUCUAUAUGUAUCAAUAUAUCUGUUAAACGAAAACCAUGAAUUCAGACUGAUGCCUCCAAAUCCAGUCCUACAAGGUUCAUUUUAAGCAUUCCCAUCUCCUGUUUUAUUUGUAACUUCCUUCUCCACAGUGAGACACCCAGCUCUCAUUAUCUACAAGUUUACUUAUUUGUUCAACCCUGUUUGUGUGUAUUACAUGGGCCCAUGUGCCCACACCCACACACACAAAAGUAGUUUCAAAAUUGCUAAAUCAUGGCUGGCCCAACGGCUCACACCUAUAAUCCCAGCACCUUGGGAGGCUGAGGCGGGCGGAUCACUUGAGCUCAGGUGUUUGAGACCAGCCUGGCCAACAUGGUGAAACCUUGUCUCUGCUGGAAAUACAAAAAAUUAGCCAGGUGUGGUGGCUCGUGCCUGUAGUCCCAGCUACUUGGGAGGCUGAGGCAGGAGAAUCGCUUGAACCCGGGAGGCAGAGGUUGCAGUGAGCCGAGAUUGCACCAUUGCACUCUAGCCUGGGCAAAAAGAGCAAAACUCCAUCUCAAAAAAUAAUAAUAAAAAAUAAUAAUUAAAAAAAAGCACAGAAAAGCAAACUAUGGAAUGUCAUAUAAAUAUUACGGGACAUAUAAUUAUCCCCGUAUGAUAAAAACUCUAGGUUAUUCCAGAAAGUUUCUAGAGUCACUCAAAUGUAUUAAUGCCCACCACUGGUGGGAGGAGUGGUAUAAGAAAUAAGAAAUUCAGGGCCGGGCGCAGUGGCUGACACCUGUAAUCCCAGCAAUUUGGGAAGCUGAGGUGAACGGAUCAUGAAGUCAGGAAAUCAAGACCAUCAUGGGUAACAUGGUGAAACCCUGUCUCUACUAAAAAAAAUUAGCUGGGUGUGGUGGCAUGCACCUGUAAUUCCAGCUACUCAGGAGGCUGAGGCAAAAAAAUCACAUGAACCCAGGAGGCGGGGUUUACAGUGAGCUGAGAUCAUGCCAUUGCACUCCAGCCUGGGCAACAAGUGUGAAACUCCAUCUCAAAAAAAAAAUUUUUUUAAUUUAAAAAAUAAAACAGGACAGGAGCAAGGUUGACACAAAGAACUGUGGCCAGGGGAACAGAGGGACAGUUGGUCUCCUGUCUACUCACACCUAGAGGAAGAAUACAGCAAAUAACAUUAUGUGCCAGGCAUCCUGCUAUUCUAAUUGCGUGGUCUCAUUGAGAUGUGGGUGCCACUGUAGUGCUCAUUUUUAGAGGAUGAAACUGAGGGUCGCAGAGGCUGAAAUCCCACUGCUAAGGAUCAAUCAAAAUUCAAAUCUAGUCGGUCUGACUCUUGAGGCUGGGAUCAUGUAGCCACACUUAUAGUGCCACACUGCCUCACUGUCUACUAUCACGUUUUGUCUUGAAAAGAAGUGCUAGGGCCAGGCAUGAUGGCUUGUGCCUAUAAUCUCAGUACUUUGGGAGGCCAAGGCUGGAGGAUCACCUGAGGUCAGGAGUUCAAGACUAUUUUGGGCAACAUAGGGGAGACCCUGUCUGUACAAAAAAUUUCAAAAUGCCAGACGCGGUGGCUCACGCCUGUAAUCCCAGCACUUUGGGAGGCCGAGGAGGGUGGACCACUUGAGGUCAGCAGUUUGAGACCAGCCUGGCCAACAUGGUGAAACCCCAUCU
rnacentral:lncRNA from 1 species